AACGUCGGAGACAAACGUUAUCCGGAGUUACUGGGCGUAAAGGGCGUGUAGGUGGUUGAGUAAGUCUGGCGUGAAAUUUUUCGGCUUAACCGGGAAAGGUCGUCGGAUACUGCUUAACUAGAGGACGGUAGAGGCGUGUGGAAUUCCGGGUGUAGUGGUGAAAUGCGUAGAGAUCCGGAGGAACACCAGUGGCGAAGGCGACACGCUGGGCCGUACCUGACACUGAUGCGCGACAGCAUGGGGAGCAAACAGG
rnacentral:rRNA from 1 species